AGGGUGUAAACGCUGCAGACUUGGUGUUGGGAACCCUUCGGGGGUGCUCAGUGCCGGAGAGAAGUUGUUAAGUCUGCUACUUGGGGAGUACGUCCGCAAGGAUGAAACUUAAAGGAAUUGGCGGGGGAACACCGCAACGGGAGGAGCGUGCGGUUUAAUUGGAUUCAACGCCGAAAAACUCACCAGCAGCGACUGUUACAUGAAAGUCAGGUUGAUGACCUUACUAGAUUUUCAGAGAGGAGGUGCACGGCGGUCAGUGACU
rnacentral:rRNA from 1 species